rnacentral:rRNA from 1 species
GACGAACGCUGGCGGCGUGCUUAACACAUGCAAGUCGAACGGAAAGGCCCUGCUUUUGUGGGGUGCUCGAGUGGCGAACGGGUGAGUAACACGUGAGUAACCUGCCCUUGACUUUGGGAUAACUUCAGGAAACUGGGGCUAAUACCGGAUAGGAGCUCCUGCUGCAUGGUGGGGGUUGGAAAGUUUCGGCGGUUGGGGAUGGACUCGCGGCUUAUCAGCUUGUUGGUGGGGUAGUGGCUUACCAAGGCUUUGACGGGUAGCCGGCCUGAGAGGGUGACCGGCAACAUUGGGACGGAGAUACGGCCCAGACUCCUACGGGAGGAAGCAGGGGGGAAUAUUGCACAAUGGGCGGAAGCCUGAUGCAGCAACGCCGCGUGCGGGAUGACGGCCUUCGGGUUGUAAACCGCUUUCGCCUGUGACGAAGCGUGAGUGACGGUAAUGGGUAAAGAAGCACCGGCUAACUACGUG